rnacentral:lncRNA from 1 species
GUCUGGUUCCUGAAGCCUGGGAGGUGUCACGUGCAGGGUGACCAGCUAGUGGGAGCCAGGAAAGACAGAGCUGGCCGCCCGGUGACCCUGCCAGGAGACCUCGUGGGGUCUUCCCAGGAAGGGUAGGGGGCUCUCUCUCCAGCAGGAAGGUCCUGCAGGCCGGCCAGCCUGCACCCCAACCCCUCCCCCACCCCAGUCCAGCACCCAGCCCCUCACCUGGCCACUCCCUGAAGUUUGUUGCAAAUUCUCAGAGUCAGGAGGGAGCUGGGCCAGCGGCUGUCUGUCGGCACAGCAGUGACUCAGACAAGACAGCCUGGGGCCCCGGCGGCGCUCCUGGUGUGCAGGCCCCCGCGGCGGCUCUGGUCUCACUCCAGCCCACGCUGGAAAACAGCCUUGCUCCCACUCGUCUGGCCCAGCUCGCCCUGCCAGACUGGAUUGUAAGGAACUGAAAGGGGGGCUGUCGGGAGGGGAGGGGGAGGGGGGGAGGGAGAGGAGGGGGAGGAGGAGGAGGAAGGGGAGGGGGACGAGAAAGUAACCCUGCUGUCUCUGGUGCUGCCUCCUUGGACACCCCGGGUGGCUGGCCAGGUGGGAGCAGGACAGGAGAGAGGCCGGAGGCAGAGACUGCCCGACUUGUGCCCUCGCCUCUAGGGAAGGUGCUUGUCGUCUGCUUCACGGGGGACAGGCUGAGCCCUCGCUUCACUUCCAGGGAUCCCGGCCUGUGCCACUGUC